CAUUUCUUGAUGUUAUUAGCGAUGGACCCCAAAUACCUGCAAAAACUAAUUUUAAAGGUGAUGUAUAAACAAUGUCAGUAUAGAAAAAUGCAAGCUAUGAAUUUUUGCAACCGAACAAAUUUCACAAACAUGAUCAGGAUUGAUAUUAGAAGAGAUGAAAAUAGAACAUCGUUUAAGCGUUGUCUCAACAGUGUUUAUUGCAUAGUGGCUUAAUCGUUUAUGCCAUAAGUCAAUAGUAGGUGUCUUAUUAUAACUAUAAGCUAUAGUGCUACAUCCAUAACCAUUUUGAAGGUCAGAAUUAUUUGGUUUAAAGACAAAAUGAUUAGGAAAUCUAUAGACAAAACUAAUGUGAUGCUUAUUUGUACUUGAUAUAGCACAUAGAUCAGAAUGUAUUGUAGAAAUCGGUUUUGGCACAUAGAGAUGAUCAAAAGUAUAGAUUCCAUUUUUAACUACGCCUUGGAAAAGAUGCUCCCGAGUAGCUUGAUCACGAAUGACAACAAAAUCAGGCCAAAUUCAAAGAAAACUCGAUUAUCGGCAGCAAAUUUUAAAACACUCAUGAGAUUAUGUGUAAUUUCAAGAACUAGUAACAAAUUAUUCAAAUGAAAUACAAUCUUUUUAGAAAGAUCCGUUAUAAUAGAACAAUCUUUACCAGUGAUACUAAUACCUGUGCCAUUUUCCACAAACAAUUGAUCUGAACUUGCUUGACUUGAGCAUGAAGUUAACAAAUUAAAGAGUCAUGAGUUGUAUGGUGGCUAUCACCAGAAUUUAGAAGCCACGCAGCUUCACUUAUAGAGGAAAGGAUAGAAAUACAUGCUCUUGGAUGAUGGAAGGAGAGUGGUGGUGGUGGUGGAGGUUGAGAAUUGCCAUAUGAAAUUGGACGUUGGAAAUUAUAGUUGUUUGUUGGUGGGGUAAAGGAAAAUUCAAAGCAAUGGUAGCAGCUCCAAAUGACAUGGCCAAAUCGGUCACAAAGUUGGCAUUGAGGUUUAUUAUUUGUGAAACCAAAUAUUCCUCUUUCUCUUGAGUUUCGACCCCCUGUACCUCGACAUCCAUAACCACCUCUAGUAUCAUGAAAUGACAUUGAUGAUUGAGCAAAAUUAGCUAUAUGCAUUCCUGAGUCAGAUUUCUUGAAUCUUUCCAGCAUAUUUUCAUAUGCUAAAAGGUAGUUUUCCACUUCUAUAACACGAUAGGAACCUAAUUUAGACAUAACAGUGCCUAUGUAAACAUUGUAUUCCUCAGAAAGCCAUCAAGAAUGGCUUAGAUGUGAUCAUCUUCAAGAACAAUACCGAUAGCAAAGAAAGAAUCAACAAUCAUUCUUAUUUGAGCUAAGUAGUUAAAAGCAAAAGCUAUUUUCUUGGUGGAUUUCAACUACGAUUUCAAUGAUUGUACUCUUGCAUUUGAUGCGACUGUAAAGUAAGAAUUAAUUUUGCCCCAAAUUUCAUAGAACCAACCUGAGCCAAGGAUCUUGUUUCAAAAGAUUGGAGUCAUAGAUGCUACAAUCCAUGUAGAGAGAGCAAGAUCCUGAAGCUUUCAGGCCUUGUAAAAGUCAGAUUCAGAUUGUAUCUUCUUGGUUGGACCAGUGAUGAAUUGUUCAGGUACCUUUUUCUGCAUAAAGAUGAUCUUCCAUUCCAAUGUUUUGAAUGGUAAGAAGAGCUUGAUAACGCCAUGUGGAGUAAUUAUUUUCGUUCAGUUUAUCAGGAAUUGGGGAGAAAGGUUUCUUGUUUGAUAAAUCGGUGAGUGAGAUCUCAAUUAAAAGAGCAAACAAGAAGAAGAUUCAGCUACAUAGGGAUGGAGGGAGGGAUAAGAGAGGAUUUAAAUACCAAUUAAGGGAAUUGAAUUCAACUAUUUUCUAUAUCAUCCAGUAAUACUCAUAACAUGACCACAAGAUCUAAAGCUAAACAAAACUUCUCUAUUGCUUUAAUUGUCUCUAAACUUGUUGCGUUUGAUCUUAUAAAUAAUAUACCAAAAAAUAUAAAAUAGACUCUACAUCUCCUCAUUGGGAAGCUACUAUAGAUCAGGAGUAUAAGGCCUUACUAAAAUCUAGACCCUGGACACUUAA